AGAGAAUUCCAGAGAAGUGGAGAGACUUCUGGAACCUUCCAGUCCUUUCUGCAAGCUUCUAGCCCAAAAUGAGGUUUGGUUGGCCCAAACUCCUUCUAGCAAGCCAAUUUCAGCCAGCCAAUUGCCCAGAACUUUCUAGCAUGUUCCAGCACGUCCCAGAGCCAUCCACAAGGCUCUAGAAAUUUCUGCAAGUCUCCACAUGGGCCACCUGACUUGCUUGGGCAAUUUUGGGCUGUUUGGCCCGUUUUCCUCUUGGGGGCUUACAGUAGGCUUGCUUUGAGCACUCUAAUU
rnacentral:misc_RNA from 1 species